GAAGGGAUUGGAAAUAAGCAAAGAAGCAUGAAAUGGAAUAACAGGGAUUGGAAAUAAGCAUAGAAUAACAGAUACAUCUCUCAUUGAUAACAUCUAAAAUAACUUCAAAAGCCUGAUAAGUGAUGAGCGCUUGACCGGUCGCAAUGACCUUCGGUGCUAUUACUGGAAUAGAACAACCAACUUCACUGGAUAAUUAUACUUGAUUGACUAGCAUAAGCAAAUAAUAUGAAGUGCCAAGCACUUAAAAGGUAUUGGUCAUUCUCAGUGACUCCUAUUAGUUCUUCUGUGUCAUUUUACAUCCUUUAACAUUUGCUCAAUAUUGAUGACUGCAUAUUUCAAUAAACUCACAGAAUUUGACUUUCUUUAUAGAAUGCUUGCAUGGCAGUGAAGCUGUAAUAUCUACUCAGAUAGUUCUCACAUCCU